rnacentral:lncRNA from 1 species
AAGCAGUUACAUUGGAAAGAUCUAUUUAAGAAUUCCAGCAUCAUCACUUGCAGAAAUUCCUCGGGGACAGUUUGUCCAGCCUCUGGUAGCCAGCAUUCUACUCUCAACGUUUUUGGCUGCCACAUACAAGUUCUUCCAAGAAAGGUACACACUUUGUGGUCGUCUCUGUUGCAACUGAGCAAAGAGCCAGGAUUGGGACUAUUAGCUUUCACGGGGCCCAGCAAAUUAGGCCGUGCGCGGUGGCUCACGCUUGUAAUCCCAGCACUUCGGGAGGCCGAGGCGGGUGGAUCACGAGGUCCAGAGAUCGAGACCAUCCUGGCUAACACGGUGAAACUCCAUCUCUACUAAAAACACAAAAAACUAGCCGGGCGUGGUGGCGGGCACCUGUAGUCCCAGCUACUCGCGGGAAGCUGAGGCAGGAGAAUGGCGGGAACCCGGAAGGUGGAGCUUGCAGUGAGCAGAGAUGGUGCCACUGCACUCCAGCCUGGGCGACAGAGCGAGACUCCGCUUCAAAAAAAAGAAAAAAGAAAGAAAGAAAAGAAAAAAAAAAUAGUAAAUUAAAAAAAAAAAAAAAAAGCAAAUUAGUAGUAUCCUUAAGUUCAAAUAAAAGAAUAUCAUUUCUCCUUUGGGGUUAAAGAGCCAGGGAAUGCUUCUUUGAGAUGCUCUGAUCCAUUGCUUGCUGAAAGCUGACUCUCCCUUAGCAAAGGCUGCGAUGUGCAACUUUUCAUCUGGUGUCCAGUGCCCUGGGUAAGAACACCCCAACUUCCAUUCAGUCUUUAUUUUCUGCUAUUGGCUUCCAUAACACCCACGCCCUCCUGAUCGAGGUAAAAUUCAAAUGCCAUUUUCUCCAUGCAGCCUUCACAUACAGAAAAAUAUACAUAUUUCUCUUAGAAACAUAAUAUAUAUGUUCUCUUAGAAACAGAAAUAUAUAUAUUUCUCUUAGAAACAAUGAAGUCAUUCUCUCAAUAAUUGUAACAAUGAAAACAGAAGAACAAACAUUUGCAUAGAACUUUGUGGACUACAAGCAGCCUUAGGAGGUACUUUUAUUUUUUUUAUUUAAAGAUGAGGAAAUAAAAUAUUGACUUGUUUGUGAUAGGAAGGAAGAAAGAAUGAGGCCUCUUAGAAAUUCCUGUUGUAAAAAUGAGUUCAAAUACGCUGUGAAUUUCUUUGUGACUUAAAAUUAUCCUAGUAAAUGAUUAAUAAAUCAUAAUUAUUUUGUUUAGUGUGAUUCUAAAACUUAAAACGAGGUAUACAUAUUAUAUAAAAUUU